rnacentral:rRNA from 1 species
UAGGGAAUAUUAGUAAUGGGCGAAAGCCUGAACUAGCAACACCGCGUGUGCGAAGAAGGCCUUCGGGUUGUAAAGCACUUUUUGAGAGGAUGAGGAAGGACGGUACUCUCAGAAUAAGUCUCGGCUAACUACGUGCCAGCAGCCGCGGUAACACGUAGGAGGCAAACGUUAUCCGGAUUUACUGGGCGUAAAGCGCGUGUAGGUGGUUUGGUAAGUAGAGCGUGAAAGCUCCUGGCUCAACUGGGAGAGGUCGUUCUAAACUGCCGGACUAGAGGAUGGUAGAGGGAGGGGGAAUUCCGGGUGUAGCGGUGAAAUGGGCAGAUAUCCGGAGGAACACAAGUGGCGAAAGCGGCCUCCUGGCCCACUCCUGACACUCAGACGCGAAAGCUAGGGUAGCAAACG